rnacentral:tRNA from 1 species
GGUGAGAUGGCUCAGUGGGUAAGAGCACCCGACUGUUCUUCCGAAGGUUCAGAGUUCAAAUCCCAGCAACCA